rnacentral:sRNA from 1 species
AUGCAGCCGGUAUGUGAACCCCAUCUGGCUAACUCCCGGGGGCCCCAGCCAGGGCAGGGUGUAUGUGUGCAGAAUAAGCAGGGCCAGGGCCCUGCCCUGGCGUGGCUCAGCAGAGCCCUCCUCCCUCCCACCUCCCACUCUGCUGCCUUCAUCCCCUAGGCGCUGAAGUACGCCUUCCAGACCCAUGACCGCCUGUGCUUCGUGAUGGAGUACGCCAAUGGGGGUGAGCUGUUCUUCCACCUGUCCCGGGAGCGUGUCUUCACAGAGGAGCGGGCCCGGUUUUAUGGUGCAGAGAUCGUCUCGGCUCUUGAGUACUUGCACUCGCGGGACGUGGUAUACCGCGACAUCAAGCUGGAAAACCUCAUGCUGGACAAAGAUGGCCACAUCAAGAUCACUGACUUUGGCCUCUGCAAAGAAGGCAUCAGUGACGGGGCCACCAUGAAAACCUUCUGUGGGACCCCGGAGUACCUGGCGCCUGAGGUGCUGGAGGACAAUGACUAUGGCCGGGCCGUGGACUGGUGGGGGCUGGGUGUGGUCAUGUACGAGAUGAUGUGCGGCCGC